GAGUUUGAUCAUGGCUCAGGACGAACGCUGGCGGCGUGCCUAACACAUGCAAGUCGAACGAAACUUUUUGCUUCGGUAGAAAGUUUAGUGGCGGACGGGUGAGUAACGCGUGAGGAACCUGCCUUUCAGAGGGGGAUAAUGUCUGGAAACGGACACUAAUACCGCAUGACAUUUUCUGUUCACAUGGACAGAAAAUCAAAGGAGCAAUCUGCUGAAAGAUGGACUCGCGUCCGAUUAGCUAGAUGGUGAGAUAAUAGCCCACCAUGGCGACGAUCGGUAGCCGGACUGAGAGGUUGAACGGCCACAUUGGGACUGAGACACGGCCCAGACUCCUACGGGAGGCAGCAGUGGGGGAUAUUGCACAAUGGAGGAAACUCUGAUGCAGCAACGCCGCGUGAAGGAAGACGGUCUUCGGAUUGUAAACUUUUGUACCUAGGGACGAUAAUGACGGUACCUAGGCAGCAAGCUCCGGCUAACUACGUGCCAGCAGCCGCGGUAAUACGUAGGGAGCGAGCGUUGUCCGGAUUUACUGGGUGUA
rnacentral:rRNA from 1 species